CUGACAGCGACUCCGCGUGUGGGAUGAAGGGGCUCUGCCUCGUAAACCACUGUCGGAUGGGACGAAAAGCGAGUUACGCUCGCCUAGACGGUACCAUCAAAGGAAGGGUCGGCUAACUACGUGCCAGCAGCCGCGGUAAUGCGUAGGACCCAAGCGUUGUCCGGAUUUACUGGGUGUAAAGGGUGCGCAGGCGGACAGGUGCGUCAGAGGUGAAAUUUCCCGGCUUAACUGGGAGGGUGCCUUUGAUACGGCUUGUCUUGAGUGCGAAAGAGGAUGAUGGAAUUCCUGGUGUAGCGGUGAAAUGCGUAGAUAUCAGGAGGAACACCCGUGGCGAAGGCGGUCAUCUGGUUCGCAACUGACGCUGAGGCACGAAAGCGUGGGGAUCAAACAGGAUUAGAUACCCUGGUAGUCCACGCCUUAAACGAUGUAUGCUUGAUAUCGGAGAAAUUCGGUGUCGUAGGUAACCUGAUAAGCAUACCACCUGGGAAGUACGAUCGCAAGGUUGAAACUCAAAGGAAUUGACGGGGGCCCGCACAAGCGGUGGAUCA
rnacentral:rRNA from 1 species